AUUGAUCCUUCCAUUUUUAUGGUUGAACCUCCAAUGAUGAAAAAAAAAAAAAAAAACUGAAUAAAUGAAAUGUUUGUAGAAAACUUAAAGGUCACCUUUAUUACCUUGUUAUUUUUUUAAAGACCCUGAGGAGGC